ACUGUGGACUUAUGUAAACCAAAAGGGUUAGGACAGACAUUUGAUCACAGUUCAGAUACUCAAGAUAAACUAGAACACCUGGUCUCAUAGCCAUCUUUAACUUCCGGUUUCAACUGAAGAAUCACCUUCCCUAUGCCUCAAUGCACCUUGCAGCACUUUUUCUCCUCAUUGAUUCAGCACAAGUCCAUGGGUCACAAGAGCUUUGAAAGACACCUCUGAUGGGCUUCAGGAUUAUUAUUGGAAUGGAAGACUUAACUUAGAUUAUGGUUUCAGAAACAACCUGGCCCAGGCAUGAGUAUCUGCUGAAAGGUUUUUGAGUAAAUAUUGUCAAAAUGUCUGCUACCCAAAGUGGUCUACAGAUUCAGUGAAAUCCCUAUCAAGAUAGCAAUAAGAGGCUGUUCUAUAAAGACUUUGGCACCAUAUUCCACAUUUAUCUUAACUCUGUAGCUUGACAAAGAACUACAGAAACUAUGAGUAAACAGCCCAGAUUAUUUUCCCAGGCAGGACAGGAUCAUCCUAGACCUUAGGAUCUUAUGUAAGUCUUAUACUGAGGAAAUUAAGGAUAAAGGUUCACAUCCACACUGACCACUGACCUGUUCUAGGCAAUGGGAUGUCACUUUUCUCAUGUCCUCUCACAUAAAGUUUUGUUGGCCUUUCAUAUGCCAUUUCAGCAAAGGAAGUGCCAAGUGCUGUCCCUCCCAACUCACGCCCAAUGUCGGAGCAACUGGUGCAUGUUUCACUUCAGGCAGAUGUGACCCCAUCUGUCCCACUCCUUUCUAAACAUUCCCUUUCCUCAAGUUGUCUGCAAUUCCCUCAUCUUUGUUCCUAUAUAGUCAUGAAAGAGGCUCCACACUCACAUUUUUUCCAUCACAAAGAAGUACAUCCCAGCUGACUUUAAAGCUGGCCCCAAGGAUCCCUGAGCCUAAAGACCUGACCACCAUGUCGACUUGGGUGAUUCCAAAAAGGGAAGUGUAAGAUUCAACCCUCCACUGCUCAUUUUGCCACAGGAAACCAAUAUACCCAAUUUGUCUGGAUAAAGGAUACUUUGGAAAAUUUACAUCAAAACAAAAUUUUCAAAAUCCACUGGAUGUCAGCAUUUUUACAAGCACUUUGUGUAAACAUAGUUAGGAAAUAGCUGUGGAAAUCCUUCCUCUGCAACCAGAGUUUGUCUAUGAUGCAGUCAGUACAGAUACGAAGAGCCAUGUUUAUAUCAUGGGGCACGCCUGCUUUUUUCUCCUGAGUCUCAGUUUUGGAAAUAAACCAGGUUCUACCAACCUGUGCUUGUAACAUACUUAAAAGAACCUUGACAUAAAACUAAAAGCAUUUUUCCUCACGUCUCUAAACAUUUUCCCCUGGACACAAAGUUGGUUUCUGCCUGUUCCAUCCCCGAUCUUUCACUUCGACACUGAGAUAUCAGGAAGCAAACAUGAAGCAACAUGGAGGACAGGCCUGGGUGCCCAUCACUGGGCCACUUGCGAGGCUAGAACCAGCCAUGGUGAGUAUCCACAGAAGGGUGAGUGCCUGCUGCCUGUCAAGAUUUUAACAUUCAUAAUGGAUACUUGAGCUCGAUCCACAGCCAUCUUGAUUGUCCCAGACUUGAUCUCCAUGAGAACAUUCAAUGGGUGACUACCCAAAUCCUUUCACGUCAGGAAAAAUCUUUUUCAUCCUGUCCCAUCACUUAUUUGGCUUGAUAGAACUUAGGUGAGAACAAACCAAUUCUUCAAUUUGGUCAAAAAAAAUCCAAGCUCGAUAGAUAGUCCUUGAAUCCUGUCCUCUCUUCCCGUCAACUUUAUUACUUGGCUAAAUAGGUCCUAGGUUAGAACAAACUAUUUCUUCACAGGAGCUCUGGUUUUGUUGUAGGAUUGAAGGAGACAUUUUUAGCGUGUGUAAUAGCUUUGAAAGUGAAAUCUGGAGCAAAUCUCAUGGGCUUCUCCACAGAGCACAUUCUAGAGCUCAGAAGUAUAAAGAGAAUUCCUUAAGAUAUCACUUAAUACCUGUUACCUGUGCUCAGAGUGCAUGCUGCUGACUAUAAAUAAGCACAUAGGAGUGGAAAGAUUAGGCAACAUGUGACAUGCUUUGUGCACAUUAAGCCUUUAGAGAAACUAUGGAAUUUUUCUGGACAUGGUAUCCACACAUCUGUUGAAAGUCAGGAAAUCCUCAGUGGUAUCUCAGUUGAUUCAUCUUCCCAUUGGUCUCAUGGGAUACACGAGGCCUUUCUCCAGCAUCCCCUUUCCUAACAAUUCUGUUUAAGUUUCAGAGAAUAGACCCAAGAUGAGGAAAAUUCUUACUUUCCCACCUCAAGCCCUGGAAUACUCUUCCUAUCCAAGACUCACUCUUGUUAAUCCAGUUCAACUUAUUAUACAGUCCUCCAUGAACACCUGCUUUCCAUGACUCAGAGGCUUAAUGUUCUAAAUGUUAAUGGGGGAGGGAAUGUGUUCUGGAACACUUCUAUAAACAAAGCCAUUUCUGUAUUUCUAGUUUUUAAAGAAAGCAGUUUGAUCAAACCACCCUGAGAACAUUAGUGCCAACAUUCAGAUUCUAACAGAAGACUUCAUUCAUUCUGGACAUGCAUUUUACCUGCCAUGCACCUACCUGGGCUCCUAUGUCUUUGAAUUCAGAAUGACUAGAAUGUGUGAAUAUAUGCACACAGGCAUUCCUGUAACUCUUCUACUCCCCUUGUUAUUAGCUCAUACUUAGAAAUCCCUAGAUAUUUGAUGUUAAGAGUCAAGGAUACCCAUAUGCCAGUGCAUAGAAGGCCACACUAGAGGAAGCAGAUGAUAUUGUCCAAAGUUCAUGAAGGUUAUAGAUUAAUUUACACAUUGAAGAGAAAUGGGAACUUCACAGUUUACCUAAGAUGAAUGUACCAUCGCUACUUCUAGAAUGAUGAGGGAUUUCACAGAAAAAUGUUUCUGGGAAUCAGUAAAAAUUUUUUUUCUAGGCC